rnacentral:lncRNA from 1 species
AGGAGAUUCCUCUUGCAAAGAGGCCAAGUACAAACAUGGAAGAGUAACUGCUUAAGCAAGUAGGAAAGUGUUCCAUAAUAGUGUGCAAAGAAUGUAGAGUUCUAAGUUAAUCUCUGGAACUCGAUCUGGACCGUGACCUCGACUUUGAACGAGAUCUAGAACGGGAUCUUGAAGCUCUUUUUGGUGGAGGGGACACAGAACGUGCCUUUGAGGGUGGAGCAGGUAGGGGUGAAUUUGAACGAGACUGGCUCCUUGAUCUAGAUUUUGACUUUAUAUCACCUUUUCCAUUUUCUUUGGGGGAACGAGAUCGAGAACGAGACCUGCUUCGAGAUUUCUCAUACUCCUUAGAUCUGCUUCGAGAGCGUGAACGGGAGCCCCGAUCAGACUUGGGCUUAGAUUUGCUUUUUGAUCUGGAUUUCCUGCCUUUUGAUCGAGAACGUGAUCGACCUUUGCUCCGAGACCUGGAUCUGGACAAGAAGAGCCAGAUUUUUUUCUCAAUACCUUGCCAGAACAUACAAAUAGAGUAACAUUCAGAAAAAAAGAUCUAACAGCUCAUUAUUUACCUGGAGCGACUUUUUGAGAUACUUCGAGAUCUACUGCGGCUGCUCCUGCGACUCCUACUUCGUGACCUUCUUCUAGACCGUGACCUAAACAAAAGGUGCAAUAAAAAACAUUAAUCUCAUAUCUCAACACAAACUUUUGUGUCAUUUACAAAAAACAGUAAACAAAAUAUAAUUUCUUACCAUAAAUUAAGUCCACCUUAAAACAUUGAAAAGAACCUCAAUGAUGCACAACACAAAAGAGACUACAUACUGAAUUUCAACUAAGCAUCAAUUGAAAUACUGCUGCUUGAAUUUUUCUUUGCUCUUAGCAAACAUGGUUUCUUCUCCUUUCCCUGUAUUUCAACAAAUUACCUUGAUCUGCUUCCAGAGUAAGACCGCCUGUGGCUCGUUCGUGGUUUAUCCUCAAUGAGCCUGAUAUUUCUGCCAUUUAUUUCUGUACCAUCCAGUUUAUCCAAAGCACGCUUCAUGUCAGAGUAGGAACGAAACUCAAUCACGCCUUCAUUUGUGCGUUCUUUGUGAGCAUCCGCAUAGGUU